ACAAUUUUCGAACUGAAACUUCUUUACGCACGGUUGGAGUAUCCUUCAAACGACAUAAGUCAACACGCCAAGCAAAAAACCUCAAGAGAUAACAACAUGACGACGAGCAUUCCAGUAUUCGACGUAAAUAAUUGUAGGUUCAAAUGGAAGGGUACAGAACACCCUUACACAAGAUGUGACUACAGAUUUUUUCCCAUCUUCUGCAAACAAAAUUAUAAAAUCUGACAAAUAAAUUGGAAAAAAUAUGCAUGUUAUAACAACUGGAAUGACCAAAUGUAGGCAGUGUAUUGCCAUCUAGCGGAUUUUUGGAGCCGUUCAAGAUAUAAUUUUCAAUACAUAAUUGCAAUAUUUUAGGUUCGAAUAGGAGGGUAGACAAAACCCAUAUAAAAAAUCUGACGUUGCAUAUCUUGGCCCCAUUUUUUACAAACCAUCAAUGUUGGACAAACAAAUUUUAAAUAAUGUGUAAAUCAUAACACAUGCAGGCAACCCACUGUACAUAUGUAAAUUUAGCUUUUCCCUUCCUGCCCGUGAAAAUUUCACUUAUAGCAAACUCCCAAGAAAAAAUUAUGACAAAAAAUAUUAAAAAACACAUUUUCUAUGCGCCCAAGGUAAAUACAUUACAAUUAUUGCUGUUAUUGACUUUAGAUUUGUCCCUUCAUUUUAGUGAAAAAAUUUUAAUUUGUUUAUAACACACUUACAAGGGAAGAUAAUGGCGAAAAACAUUAAAGCAGCUUCUAUACUAUGUCCAUACACUGAUUGUUUAUUAACAAAUACACUUGCAGUUAUUGAUUUUUUAGAGAUUGCUGUCUUCUUAUCAUGAAUGUCUUUAAAGAACCUUUUCUUCCAAAUACCAGAAGUGAAUAAAAAGAAAAAGUAAAAAAGUGUCAAUACAGACUUACAGUAAUCCGUACCAUUUUAUCUAGCAGUCCAGCCGCAAUACUUAAUUGAUUAGGAAAUAUACCGAUUAUUAAUGAUCGAGCAAAUUAACAAAUUUCUAUAUAAACAGAGUACAGCAGUACAGUUAAUGUAAUUAGAGUUCAUUCAUUUAAUCAGUCAAUCAACGAGGAUCUUCCAAAAUAUCAAAUAAUAUCUGGUUUAAAUUAAGUUGUAGUAAAGGAUAACUUUAAAACACCGUACUUAUUAUUAGUGUAAUUGAAGUUUUUAGUUGCCGAACUGGUCGUCUAAUUAUACGGGUCAUAUGUGUGUCUCUGCAUGACUAAAACGCGUGCCAUCAACCUAUCUACAUGUAUUUCCGUGAAAUUUUUGAAGGAGAAACUUCUGAGGUCUUGCAGACGACUAAUUUGCGGGUACAGUGUACAUAGGGUCGUGAAUGGUAUCACAUAAAUGGUCCAUGCAUCCAUAUGUAACAGAAAAUACCAAAACAUGUGAGAGGUAUUACCGUGUGAUAUA